UAAAAACUUUCAAUCCCGUUAUCAAGCUAUUGAUAAAAUGCCAAAAGCUAUUAUAAUUGUUGUUUCUACCUUAGAUUGACAUUAUUCUAUUUGUAACUCCUUUUUAGCAUAAUCCUUUUGAAAAUCCACAAAGCUGCAUCAGAGCCGGAACGAUUUUUGACUUGAUUGAUGAGUGGAUCAUUUUAGACAGAAUCAAAAGCUUUUUUUUUCAGUUGAUUUCACUGCCGUGUAUUGAUUCUUCUCAAUAAUCUGAAACUAGAGGAAAAUAUUCACAAUUUAUUGCAUGCUGGUUGCAAUGAAUAAUGCAAAUACUCCGCUGAUUGAUGAUCUUCCUGCUUCUCCCCCUUCCUUUCUGCAUCCAGGACGCUAACCUGUUUUGAUGACAUCAAGGCUCAUCCUUGCCUCCUGCCUUCUUUUUGUGUUUGGGCAAUGGGAAGCAUUGUCAAGAACUGAAUGGAGAAAGAGGAGUUCUCUCCAUUCUAACCCUGGCUCCACCUCCACAAGGCUGACUCCCUCCAGCUGGCUGCAUCUGCAGCAGAAUAUCUCACCACCUUUCGUGGUCCUCUCCAUUUCUGGGUCCUGGUAAGAAAAUAUUCAAAGACCAAUGGACUUCUGCCAAGAAAACAGCUUGAAAGGAUUCCUGCCAGCCAAUUUAUUACAAUGUGAGCUCCGCAAAGAUUCUUAAAGACCAAAUAAGUAAAAUUCAUGAACCCAUAAUGGUAAUAAUAACAAAAAAUCACAAAGUAUCAAAGAAAUGUUGAUUUUGUGGAUUCAACAAGAAUAUUAAAACCUGUCAGCGUAUGAAAUAAUUUUUCACAUAUUAAGCUAAUCAAAUAACUUUAAUGAUUUAAUAACUUAGCGAGAUGAAGAAUGAAAUUAAUGUUUAUCACUGAACAUUUAUUACCGUAUCCACCUCCUAAAUUUUUCUACGUGGUAGAAUGUGGGGUAAACAUAGUUCUUUCAUGUAAAUUCAUUUGAUGCUAAUGGUCAUGGAUUACUGUACGGUUAACUGCAUUUAUUGGCAUAUCUUCCAGUUAAGGUCAUGUCAUUAUAGGCAGCAUAGCUGGUUGCUUAUUCUUUUUUAUUAUUUCUAAUUUACGUUUACAUAUUUAUUUAUUAUUGAGGUAAUACUGAUUUAUAGCAUUACCUAAAUUUCAGGUGUACAUCAUUAUAUUUUGAAUUCUGUGUAGACUGUUUUGUGUUCAACACCAAAAUUCUAAUUUCCAUCCCUCACCGUACAAAUGUUCUCUCUUACCCGUUUCACCCUAACCCUUCACCCCUCUUCACCUCUGGUAACCACCAAUCUGUUCUCUGUAUCUUUGUGUUUGUUUUAUCUAUCUUCCACAUGUGAGUGAAAUCACAUGGUAUUUGUCUUUUUCUGUCUGACUUAUUUCACUUAGCAUAAUUCCCUCAAGGUCCAUCCAUGUUGUGGCAAUUGGCAAGAUUUUGUCAUUUUUUAUGGUUGAGUAUAUUCCAUUGUAUAUAUGUACCACAUCUUCUUUAUCCAUUCAUUCGUCCAUGGGCACUUAAGCUGUUUCCAUGUCUUAGCUAUUGUGAAUAAUGCUGCAGUGAACACAGGGAUAAUU
rnacentral:lncRNA from 1 species